rnacentral:tRNA from 1 species
GGCGCGUGGCCUAGUGGUUAGGGCAUUCGUCUCACGAUCGUAAGGUCGUGAGUUCAAGUCCCGGCGACGCCU